ACGUAGGCAGCAAGCGUUGUUCGGAGUUACUGGGCGUAAAGAGUGUGUAGGCGGUUCGCCAAGUUCGGUGUGAAAACUCCCGGCUAAACCGGGCGGGUGCGCUGAAUACUGGCGGGCUAGAGUGCGGGAGAGGAGAACGGAAUUCCUGGUGUAGCGGUGAAAUGCGUAGAUAUCAGGAGGAACACCUGCGGUGUAGACGGCUAUCUGGACCGUUUCUGACGCUGAGACUCGAAAGCGUAGGUAGCAUACUG
rnacentral:rRNA from 1 species